rnacentral:rRNA from 1 species
CUGCCUACGGGGGGCAGCAGUGGGGAAUAUUGCGCAAUGGGGGAAACCCUGACGCAGCGACGCCGCGUGCAGGAAGAAGGUCUUCGGAUUGUAAACUGUUGUCGCAGGGGAAGAAGACAGUGACGGUACCCUGUGAGAAAGUCACGGCUAACUACGUGCCAGCAGCCGCGGUAAUACGGAGGAUGCGAGCGUUAUCCGGAUUUAUUGGGUUUAAAGGGUGCGUAGGCUGAAUGUCAAGUCAGCGGUAAAAAUUCCGGGCUCAACCCGGUCGUGCCGUUGAAACUGGCGUUCUUGAGUGAGCGAGA